GGAAAUGUAGCUCAAAUAGAGCUCCAAACUUUUGACAAGUGACAUGGGUUCAAAUCCUAACAUUCCCU
rnacentral:tRNA from 1 species